AACGAACGCUGGCGGCAUGCCUAACACAUGCAAGUCGAACGAGACCUUCGGGUCUAGUGGCGCACGGGUGCGUAACGCGUGGGAACCUGCCCUUAGGUUCGGAAUAACUCCCCGAAAGGGGUGCUAAUACCGGAUAAUGUCUUCGGACCAAAGAUUUAUCGCCUUUGGAUGGGCCCGCGUUGGAUUAGCUAGUUGGUAGGGUAAAAGCCUACCAAGGCGACGAUCCAUAGCUGGUCUGAGAGGAUGAUCAGCCACACUGGGACUGAGACACGGCCCAGACUCCUACGGGAGGCAGCAGUGGGGAAUAGUGGACAAUGGGCGAAAGCCUGAUCCAGCAAUGCCGCGUGAGUGAUGAAGGCCUUAGGGUUGUAAAGCUCUUUUACCCGGGAUGAUAAUGACAGUACCGUGAGAAUAAGCUCCGGCUAACUCCGUG
rnacentral:rRNA from 1 species